CCUACGGGUGGCAGCAGUGGGGAAUAUUGGACAAUGGGGGCAACCCUGAUCCAGCCAUGCCGCGUGUGUGAAGAAGGCCCUCGGGUUGUAAAGCACUUUCAGUGAGGAAGAACGCCUGGUGGUUAAUACCCAUCAGGAAAGACAUCACUCACAGAAGAAGCACCGGCUAACUCCGUGCCAGCAGCCGCGGUAAUACGGAGGGUGCGAGCGUUAAUCGGAAUUACUGGGCGUAAAGCGCGCGUAGGUGGCUUGAUAAGCCGGUUGUGAAAGCCCCGGGCUCAACCUGGGAACGGCAUCCGGAACUGUCAAGCUAGAGUGCAGGAGAGGAAGGUAGAAUUCCCGGUGUAGCGGUGAAAUGCGUAGAGAUCGGGAGGAAUACCAGUGGCGAAGGCGGCCUUCUGGACUGACACUGACACUGAGGUGCGAAAGCGUGGGUAGCAAACAGGAUUAGAUUACCCUUGUAGUC
rnacentral:rRNA from 1 species